rnacentral:rRNA from 1 species
UUGCUUCUCGCUGACGAGCGGCGGACGGGUGAGUAAUACUUAGGAAUCUACCUAGUAGUGGGGGAUAGCACGGGGAAACUCGUAUUAAUACCGCAUACGACCUACGGGAGAAAGGGGGCAGUUUACUGCUCUCGCUAUUAGAUGAGCCUAAGUCGGAUUAGCUAGAUGGUGGGGUAAAGGCCUACCAUGGCGACGAUCUGUAGCUGGUCUGAGAGGAUGAUCAGCCACACCGGGACUGAGACACGGCCCGGACUCCUACGGGAGGCAGCAGUGGGGAAUAUUGGACAAUGGGGGAAACCCUGAUCCAGCCAUGCCGCGUGUGUGAAGAAGGCCUUUUGGUUGUAAAGCACUUUAAGCAGUGAAGAAGACUCCAUGGUUAAUACCCAUGGACGAUGACAUUAGCUGCAGAAUAAGCACCGGCUAACUCUGUGCCAGCAGCCGCGGUAAUACAGAGGGUGCAAGCGUUAAUCGGAAUUACUGGGCGUAAAGGGAGCGUAGGUGGCUCUAUAAGUCAGAUGUGAAAUCCCCGGGCUUAACCUGGGAACUGCAUCUGAGACUGUAGAGCUAGAGUAUGUGAGAGGAAGGUAGAAUUCCAGGUGUAGCGGUGAAAUGCGUACAGAUCUGGAGGAAUACCGAUGGCGAAGGCAGCCUUCUGGCAUAAUACUGACACUGAGGCUCGAAAGCGUGGGUAGCAAACAGGAUUAGAUACCCUGGUAGUCCACGCCGUAAACGAUGUCUACUAGUCGUUGGGUCCCUUGAGGACUUAGUGACGCAGCUAACGCAAUAAGUAGACCGCCUGGGGAGUACGGCCGCAAGGUUAAAACUCAAAUGAAUUGACGGGGGCCCGCACAAGCGGUGGAGCAUGUGGUUUAAUUCGAUGCAACGCGAAGAACCUUACCUGGUCUUGACAUAUCUAGAAUCCUGCAGAGAUGCGGGAGUGCCUUCGGGAAUUAGAAUACAGGUGCUGCAUGGCUGUCGUCAGCUCGUGUCGUGAGAUGUUGGGUUAAGUCCCGCAACGAGCGCAACCCUUGUCCUUAGUUACCAGCGGGUUAAGCCGGGAACUCUAAGGAUACUGCCAGUGACAAACUGGAGGAAGGCGGGGACGACGUCAAGUCAUCAUGGCCCUUACGACCAGGGCUACACACGUGCUACAAUGGUAGGUACAGAGGGCAGCUACACAGCGAUGUGAUGCGAAUCUCAAAAAGCCUAUCGUAGUCCAGAUUGGAGUCUGCAACUCGACUCCAUGAAGUAGGAAUCGCUAGUAAUCGCGGAUCAGAAUGCCGCGGUGAAUACGUUCCCGGGCCUCGUACACACCGCCCGUCACACCAUGGGAGUUGAUUGC